CUGCAUUGUUCGACUUGGAGUUGGGUUUUCUCGGAAACCUUUUUCUUGACGAUUCCUUUCGUUUCUUUCAGGGUUCUUUUGGAUGCUGAUCAGUUGGGGAACCAAAGCUUCAAUGAAGCAUUUAAGAAGGUUGGACUUGGCUAUGAAUAUUGGACAGAGCCUCUUUACUUGGGCCUCCUAAGGACAAGUGCUGGUGAUGAGGAAAAGAUGCUGAAUUUGUAUUUUAAUUCGAUUGGUUAGCCUAGUUCAUUGCAACCAAGUCAGGUGGAGUUAUUUGUGAAAAAUGUUCUGCAACAGAAGAAAAUUGCAAUGGAUGAGUUUCUGAUGUCAGAAAGUUUGACUUUACGACCUGGAGUUGAAGAGUGAGUUUCUGAUAACAGAAAAUUUACUUGGAUGAUUACACAACCUUUUGGCUCUCAAAUAUACCG